UUCCUGGUGGUCAAGUGGUUAGGACUGUGAGCUUCUACUGCAGAGGGCACAGGUUCAAUCCCUGGUCAGGGAA
rnacentral:tRNA from 1 species